rnacentral:rRNA from 1 species
AGUCUAUCCCGGGGCUCAGACGCGCUGGCGGGAUGCUUACACAUGCAAGUCGAACGGCAGCACGGACUUGGUCUGUGCAUAUGGCGAACGUGAGUAAUGUAUCGGAACGUGCUCGAAGCGGAUAACGAAAGCGGCUUACUACCGACAUUGGGGGAAAGCGGGGACCUUCGCCUCGCAGGUAUUAGAGCACAUAUCGGAUUAGCUAGUUGGUGGGUAACGGCUCACCAUGACGAUCUGUAGCUGGUUUGAGAGAGGACGACCAGCCACACUGGACCGAGACACGGCCCAGACUCCAGCCGGAGGGUGGCAGUGGAAUUUUGGACAAUGGGGAAAUCCCUGAUCCAAAGCUGACUCUGGCGUGUGCGAUGCGAAGGCCUCGGGUUGUAAAGCAUCUUUGGCAGGGGAAAGAAAAGACGUGGAUAAUACCUGAUGGUACCAGAAUAAAGGUUCCAUACCACGCCGGCAGCCGCGGUAAUAUCGGGGUGCGUUAAUGACCCGGAAUUACUACGUAAAGUGCGCAGCGGCUGGAAAGAAAGAUGUGAACCAGAGCGAACUUGAACUGCAUUUUUAACUACCGAGCUAGAGUGUCAGAGGGAGGUGGAAUUCCGCGUGUAGCAGUGAAAUGCGAUAUGAGGAACACCGAUGGCGAACAGCCUCCUGGAGUAACACUGACGCUCAUGCACGAAAGCGGAGCAAACAGAUUAGAUACCCUGGUAGUCCACGCCCUAAACGAUGUCACAAUUAGCGCUGUUGGGGUCAGCUUGGUAGCAGCUAACGGUGAAGUUGACCGCCUGGGGAGUACGGUCGCAAGAUUAAAACCCAAAUAGAAUUAUUUGGGACCCGCCGCGGUGGAUGGAGUUGAUUAAUUGAUGCAACGCGAAAACUAAUACCUACUUUGAUAUGUUCGAAUCCUGAAGAGAUUUGGGAGUGUCGCGAGAACCGGAACACGGCAAGGCAUGGCUGCCGCCAGCUCGUGUCGUGAGAUGUUGGGGUUAAGUCCUGCAACGAGCGCAACCCUUGCCAUUAGUUACGAAAGGGCACCCCAUCGAGAUCGCCGGUGACAAACCAGGAAGGUGGGGAUGACGCCAAGUCCUCAUGGGCCCUUGCGGUAGGGCUUCACAUCAUAAAAUGGUUGAGAGGGUCGCCAAUCCCGCGAGGGGAGCCAAUCCUGCGAACCAUCAGAACGUCCGACGGUAGUCUGCAACCUGACUGCGUGAAGUCGGAAUCGCUAGUAACGCGGACUGCAGCAUGUCGCGGUGAAUACGUUCCGGCCUUGUACACCGCCCGUCACACCAUGCGGGAGUAUACCAGAAGUAGCGCCCAACCGUAAGGGAGGGCGAUUACCGCAGAUUCACAUGACCAGGUGAAGUCGUAACGUAG